ACCACAACAGGUGGAGCCUGCGGUUUAAUCGGACUCAACGCCGGGAAACUCACCAGAUAAGACAGCUGAAUGAUAGCCGGGCUGAAGACUCUACUUGACUAGCUGAGAGGAGGUGCAUGGCCGUCGUCAGUUCGUACUGUGAAGCAUCCUGUUAAGUCAGGCAACGAGCGAGACCCACGCCAACAGUUGCCAGCUCGUCCUCCGGGAUGGUGGGGACACUGUUGGGACCGCCUCUGCUAAAGAGGAGGAAGGAAUGGGCAACGGUAGGUCAGCAUGCCCCGAAUUAUCUGGGCUACACGCGGGCUACAAUGGGUGGGACAAUGGGUAUCGACACCGAAAGGUGAAGGCAAUCUCCUAAACCCAUCCGUAGUUCGGAUUGUGGGCUGCAACUCGCCCACAUGAAGCUGGAAUCUGUAGUAAUCGUGUCUCAAAAUGGCACGGUGAAUAUGUCCCUGCUCCUU
rnacentral:rRNA from 1 species